AACGAACGCUGGCGGCAUGCCUAACACAUGCAAGUCGAACGAGACCUUCGGGUCUAGUGGCGCACGGGUGCGUAACGCGUGGGAACCUUCCCUUAGGUUCGGAAUAACUCCCCGAAAGGGGUGCUAAUACCGGAAAAUGUCUUCUGACCAAAGAUUUAUCGCCUUUGGAUGGGCCCGCGUUGGAUUUGCUAGGUGGUAGGGUAAAAGCCUACCAAGGCGACGAUCCAUAGCUGGUCUGAGAGGAUGAUCAGCCACACUGGGACUGAGACACGGCCCAGACUCCUACGGGAGGCAGCAGUGGGGAAUAUUGGACAAUGGGCGAAAGCCUGAUCCAGCAAUGCCGCGUGAGUGAUGAAGGCCUUAGGGUUGUAAAGCUCUUUUACCCGGGAUGAUAAUGACAGUACCGGGAGAAUAAGCUCCGGCUAACUCCGUG
rnacentral:rRNA from 1 species